rnacentral:rRNA from 1 species
UACGGAGGGUGCAAGCGUUAUCCGGAUUCACUGGGUUUAAAGGGUGCGUAGGCGGGUUGGUAAGUCCGUGGUGAAAUCCCCAAGCUUAACUUGGGAACUGCCGUGGAUACUAUCGAUCUUGAAUACUGUGGAGGUAAGCGGAAUAUGUCAUGUAGCGGUGAAAUGCUUAGAUAUGACAUAGAACACCGAUAGCGAAGGCAGCUUGCUACACAGUUAUUGACACUGAGGCACGAAAGCGUGGGGAGCAAACAGG